CUUGCCUUUAUUUUCUUCUUGUCUUCUUAUAUGGUAUCAGAGCCAUAGCAAUGGCUAAUCAAAUGUUGAAGUCUCGAAUACUUCUCCAAAUACAAAUCAAAACCAAAAUAACAAUCAUAAUACUGAAUCCAAUUCGAAAAUUUACAAUCUAACAAACUCAAGUAGCCCUUAUUUCAUUGGCAGCAAUGAUGGUACUAAAGCUGUAUUGGUUACAUAAAUGUUGGAAGCAAACAGCUACCACUUUUGGGCUAGAUCCAUGAAAUGAGCUCUUAGAAUAAAAAACAAAUUGGAUUCAUAGAUGGAAGUCUCUGUGAACUGAAUGAUCCAAACGACCCUUUAAUGGAACCCUGGCUCAGAUGCAAUGACAUUGUGAUUACUUGGCUGCAAAACACCAUGGAAGUAGACAUCAAAUGUAGUACCGUGUAUGCUAAGACAGCACAUCAGCUGAAGUUGGAGCUAGAACAACAAUUUGCCCAACAAAAUGCACCAAGGAUCUAUGAAAUCAAGCAAGCCAUCAUAACUCUGGUUCAAAAUCAUGAUGAUGUAAGUGUUUACUUUUAUAAGAUCAAAACUCUUCUAGAUGAGUUAUUGAACUAUGAAUCUAUCCCGAAUUGUACCUGUGGCGGUCUAAAAGUGGUGAUCUAAAAUCAACAGCGAAAUUGGGCGGUGAAAUUUUUAAUGGGAUUGAAUGAAUCGUACAAGGAUCUUAAGGCCCAAAUUUUGUUAAUGAAACAUUUUCCUACCUUGAAUGAAGUUUAUGCAACCAUACAACAAGAGGAGAGGAGGCGGCAGAUAUCAACAGAAGGUCCUAUUAGUGAGACCUUAUCCUUGCUAAAGAA
rnacentral:lncRNA from 1 species